rnacentral:rRNA from 1 species
CCUACGGGUGGCAGCAGUGGGGAAUAUUGCGCAAUGGGCGAAAGCCUGACGCAGCGACGCCGCGUGAGGGAUGAAGGUCUUCUGAUCGUAAACCUCUGUCAGCAGGGAAGAACGGUUACUUUGCUAAUCACCACUGAAUUUACGGUACCUGCAAAGGAAGCACCGGCUAAUUCCGUGCCAGCAGCCGCGGUAAUACGGAGGGUGCGAGCGUUAAUCGGAUUUACUGGGCGUAAAGGGCUCGUAGGCGGUAUGUCAAGUCAAGGGUGAAAUCCCCGCGCUCAACGUGGGAACUGCCUUUAAUACUGGCGAACUGGAGAGUGUGAGAGGUAGGUGGAAUGCAAGGUGUAGGAGUGAAAUCCGUAGAUAUCUGGAAGAACAUCAGUGGCGAAGGCGACUAACUAGCACAUAUCUGACGCUGAGGAGCGAAAGCGUGGGUAGCAAACAGGAUUAGAUACCCGUGUAGUC